rnacentral:lncRNA from 1 species
UUCAUAGAAAAGAGAUUAUUGUUUUUAUUCUUUUAAACUCAUUUAAAUAUUCUAUGGUUCAUUGUAAAGUUAUCAUAAGACAAAGAUUGUUUCUAUUUUGGUAGUUUGUAUAAUAUAAUAUGUCAACAAAAUGUUAAUAGAUAAUUGGUUUUCACAUUUAUCUUUGUUUCGCGACUUUAUUAUCUGAGAUGCAAAAUUUGUGUUUUCUCAUAUUAUUUCAACCUUUUUGGAAUGAUUUGAUUGGUGGUGUACUUCAGAUUAAAAUCUGUACUAAAAAUGAUACUGGUGACAUGAAUAAAUCUAUUAAUCCAUAUGAUGAUAUUUAUAUACUACAAAUCUCAAAUCUAUCCAUGAUCUACGGACAUCAAUUCAAAGUAUAAAUGAGGAAUGUGUAAUCUAACUUAUUAAUACAAUUGUUGUACUCAAAAUUGAUAUCCACAAAAUAUAGAGCAUAUAGGAGAUUGUAGAAAUAAUUGAAUAAGAAGAAACGCCUCUGUGAUCAUUAGUAAUUUAAUUUUUUGGAUGAUCCUGUGGCAUCCCAUGUAUGUAGAUAACAAUAAUACCAUAAUCACCCUGUAUUGCUUAUAGGUAUGCAUGAGUUUACAACGAUACAUAUCAUAAAUUAACUCUUAUGAAUAUUAAAAACCACAUCUAUCAAACAUCAUACACUACACAAAGUUCAAACAAGGAAACACAUAAAUAAUUAUUGAUUGUUAAAAUAACCACAUUCAUAUUUUCACACAAAUGUCAUCUAACAAGGAAAGAUUAUUCAAAUAAUCACAUUUGUGAGAUAAAUUGAACUGUAUGUACACAUCAUCACAUUAUACACACACACACACUUACAUCCAUCGGAUAUAAAAUGUAUCCAAAAACAAGGACAAAUCAGACGAGUUCUUGCUAUAUGACACUGAGCACUUUCGUGCUAGUGUAUGUCACAGUUUGGAGUUAGAAUUAUUUUAAUAGUUUAAUUGUCAGAACUUAGAAUUUUAACAGCUAAUUUAAUUUAUUGUACUUAGAAUAAUUUUAAAAGUUUAAUAAACCAACCAAUCAUAGAGUA